GUGUCAGCAGCCGCGGUAAGACGAACCUUGCAAACGUUAUUCGGAAUCACUGGGCUUAAAGGGUGCGUAGGCAGUGCAGAAAGUCGGGUGUGAAAUCCCUCAGCUCAACUGAGGAAUUGCGCCCGAAACUGCUGUGCUAGAGGAAUACAGAGGUGAGCGGAACUCAGGGUGGAGCGGUGAAAUGCGUUGAUAUCCUGAGGAACACCGGUGGCGAAAGCGGCUCACUGGGUAUUUUCUGACGCUGAGGCACGAAAGCUAGGGGAGCAAACGGGAUUAGAAACCCCGGUAGUCC
rnacentral:rRNA from 1 species